CGCUGGCGGCGUGCCUAACACAUGCAAGUCGAACGGGGUGUCGAGAGCUUGCUCUUGACACUUAGUGGCGAACGGGUGAGUAACGCGUGAGAAACCUGCCUCUCAGUGGGGGACAACAGUUGGAAACGACUGCUAAUACCGCAUAAUGUAUUCGGAGGGCAUCCUCUGAAUACCAAAGCUUUAUGUGCUGAGAGAUGGUCUCGCGUCUGAUUAGCUAGAUGGCGGGGUAACGGCCCACCAUGGCGACGAUCAGUAGCCGGUCUGAGAGGAUGAACGGCCACAUUGGGACUGAGAUACGGCCCAGACUCCUACGGGAGGCAGCAGUGGGGAAUAUUGGGCAAUGGGGGAAACCCUGACCCAGCCAUGCCGCGUGAGUGAAGAAGGUUUUCGGAUUGUAAAGCUCUUUCGGAUGUGAAGAUGAUGACGGUAGCAUCUAAAGAAGCCCCGGCAAACUUCGUG
rnacentral:rRNA from 1 species